GCCGGUGAUGGUUACAAUCCAACGUGAUUGAGGUGUAGUGGAAGCGAGACCCUGUUUUGCAGGGAGAACCUACUCGUGGAAGCUAUGUUCCAUUGACAGAAACUUUUGUGACUGAGGC